CCUACGGGGGGCUGCAGUGGGGAAUAUUGGGCAAUGGGCGCAAGCCUGACCCAGCAACGCCGCGUGAAGGAAGAAGGCUUUCGGGUUGUAAACUUCUUUUCUCAGGGACGAAGAAAGUGACGGUACCUGAGGAAUAAGCCACGGCUAACUACGUGCCAGCAGCCGCGGUAAUACGUAGGUGGCAAGCGUUAUCCGGAUUUAUUGGGUGUAAAGGGCGUGUAGGCGGGAGCGCAAGUCAGAUGUGAAAACUCAGGGCUCAACCCUGAGCCUGCAUUUGAAACUGUGUUUCUUGAGUGCUGGAGAGGCAAUCGGAAUUCCGUGUGUAGCGGUGAAAUGCGUAGAUAUACGGAGGAACACCAGUGGCGAAGGCGACUAUCUGGCACAUAACUGACGCUGAGGAGCGAAAGCGUGGGUAGCAAACAGGAUUAGAUACCCGUGUAGUC
rnacentral:rRNA from 1 species